UACGGAGGGUGCAAGCGUUGUUCGGAAUCACUGGGCGUAAAGGGCGUGUAGGCGGCCUGUUAAGUCUGAUGUGAAAUCCCCUCGCUCAACGAGGGAACUGCGUCGGAAACUGGCAGGCUCGAGUACCGGAGAGGAAGGUGGAAUUCCCGGUGUAGCGGUGAAAUGCGCAGAUAUCAGGAGGAACACCGGUGGCGAAGGCGGGUCUCUGGGCCGAUACUGACGCUGAGGAGCGAAAGCGUGGGGAGCGAACAGG
rnacentral:rRNA from 1 species